rnacentral:rRNA from 1 species
UAGGGAAUCUUCCGCAAUGGACGCAAGUCUGACGGAGCAACGCCGCGUGAGUGAAGAAGGAUUUCGGUUCGUAAAACUCUGUUGUUAGAGAAGAACAGCGCAUAGAGUAACUGUUAUGCGUGUGACGGUAUCUAACCAGAAAGCCACGGCUAACUACGUGCCAGCAGCCGCGGUAAUACGUAGGUGGCAAGCGUUGUCCGGAUUUAUUGGGCGUAAGGCGAGCGCAGGCGGUCAAUUAAGUCUGAUGUGAAAGCCCCCGGCUCAACCGGGGAGGGUCAUUAGACACUGGUUGACUUGAGUGCAGAAGAGGAGAGUGGAAUUCCAUGUGUAGCGGUGAAAUGCGUAGAUAUAUGGGGGAACACCAGUGGCGAAGGCGACUCUCUGGUCUGUAACUGACGCUGAGGCUCGAAAGCGUGGGUAGCAAACAGG